AUUUAUGAAACAUUACAUAUUUAUUGUAAAAAAUGAGUUUUUCUGUGCAAAAAGCUACGAGCACUAGCGUAUGUAAACAUGUACAAUGUUUAUGUAGCCUUUUGCACAGAAAAUCGCCACUUUUACCAUAAAUACGUAAUAUUUCAUAAAUAUAAUGCUUAAACGCAUAACAGCAUUGAUCUCAAUCAUAUAAUCUAAAAAUGAGUGUUUGAAUUUGCAAAACAAUGCGAAAGGCCUCUAAAAAAACAACUUGAGCGAUUUAAAAAUCAAAUUGCGCUAUUGAAAAUAGCAUCGGUGCGGUGAAACAACAACGUUUGAAAGCUAAAGUGAAUCUUGAGCUUCUGAAAUUGUUUUGCUGACAUUCUAUUCUGACUUGUAAAAACCCUGUAUCUCUGCUGACCAAAACUACCCGCGUAAAUUUCGUUUUUCGGAUCGCAUUUGAGUUCGCGUGUCCUAACCGCCAUCGCUCUUGUUGCUGCAACGAAAACCUGCACCGCUCCCGUAGAAUGGCCCGAAUUUGCAACGCCUGCACUAUGGAAAUUGAAGAGGCAUCUAUCAGCUGCUGCCUGUGCGACUCUCCAUUUCACCAGCGCUGCACUUCGAUUCCUGUUGAUCUGUUCCUGCGCAUUGCGGAAUAUAAACAAUUACACUGGUGCUGUAUUCGCUGCAACAACGUAUUUAUGAAUCCGCGCACCAAGUUCGUAAAAGACGCAGCCAUGCAAUCUGGCUUCCAGACGGCAAUAACGGUCGCCGAAAGCAUCAAGCAAGACGUUAUGGAGCCAUUGACUAAUGAAAUUAAAACUGGGUUUGUACGGAUGUCAGCUCGAUCUAAAAACUCCACGAAGUAGCCACUCCCCCGCUAAAAUUCGUCGCAUAAAACGGUCAAAACGUUUGUUCUCGGAUGUCGCUACUGACAACCGUACGUUGUUUACAUUUGGCGCCAGACCCAUUAACACCCAAAACAAUAACAACCAGAACCAACAUAAUAAGCCGAUUGAUGAUAUGUAUCGCAAAAAUCGAGCUCCACCCACAGUUCGGUUUGAGCCUUCGAUGGGUAAGCACCGCUUCUUUUGUGCUCCCGAAUAAUCUAUUAUAAAACCGGUUUUCAUUUUGUCGCGCGCGUUUCUCUGCCUCUUCUUCGAUCAUGUCGGGGGAGGGGGGGGAAACACGCGAAGCGUGGAAGAAACAGUUGCAGUGAUAGUGGAUCGGACUCGGGCAUGUCGAAACGCUCCGUGCGGCGGAUAUGCCCAACUGCCGAUAACGAUGCAUUGGCACAAAGGCUGAAUAAUGAAAACAAUAGCAUCAACGAUACCAGCUCCUCCGACACCAUGGAACAGGAGGAAAUUUCCCAGGAAUUUACUAUAGUAAAUCGAAAGAAAGGCUCCGCUCGUCGUCGGUCUACUCGAAAAACAUCCGCUGGUCCGUCGGCUAACCCACCCGCAGCAUCUGCCACACCGCUGCCCAAGUAGCAACCGAAGCUUUUUUCUCCCAGUUUCAACCCCCUCAUGUCCACAAACUGCCUUCGCUUACUAUUCCUAUCCCGUUUCUACAUUCCACAACGUUUGUUGCGUUCUCGCUCAUCAGGAUGUUAGUCAAUUCUCUCUUGCCACACGAAGAGAAUUCUCCUGCACACUUCGUGUGUUGGAUUCUACCCAUCCCUGUUGAACACACGUCAUUUUCUUCCAUCGCACUCAUCAGGGUGUUUGCUCUUUUCCAUCCAAGCCAAAGAGCGACUUCAGUGUGCUCUGAACCGUGGAUGUGAGAGUGUGUGUUUGUGUGCUGCGUGAACUAUUUUUCCUGCGUGAAACACUUUCCAUACUGCACCAUCCGCGGUGUUCUUUCUGCUUCGGAGGACGAAUUUUUAUCAUCUAAUUGUUUGGUUUCAGAUGUGUGCUGCUACCGCUAGCUGUUCCUCAAACUACUUAAAAAGUGUGACACUGUGUGCACAGGCGUUCAAGUUUCAAUUGAUCCUCAAGCACAAAGCCUUCAUACAACACUGCGGUUGAGGCGCGCCAAAACUGAUGACAUCUUCUCCGGAACCAAGCAGGCUGAACACGCGCACCACCACGGGCUCCAGCGCGGUGUGAAGAGGGAAGAAGAAAAGACAGAAUUGGAAACAGCCGCACCAGGCUUCCAACCACCGUGUGUGUAUGUAAGUAUGUGAGAACACAUGUGUGAAUCCUCUUGUGGGAACUGCAAAAAGAAGAGAAUAAAGAGUGUGAAGCAGCUAGACUGCCGCAACCAAAUCAAGAGAGUGAAUUCUCAUUUCAAUCCGAAAAACUGGGAGAGACCCAAGUAGCAGAGCCGAAGUUUUGCAGAGAUUUUUCUGUGUGCCAAAGCGAGAUGCCCUGUCUUCUCUCUCUAGAUUUUGGAUAGCAAACCGCCGCGCGUGUAGAGGUGUGUGCGUGUGACGAAAAACGAUGGAUGAAAAACGCGAGAAGCGGGGUCCGAAGUCUUUCGUUGGUCACACACACAUGCAUCUACCAGCGGAUUGCGCUACACCGAGUCUACCCAUCUCUCUCAAUCUACCAUGAUUUUUUCUGCUAUCGCACUCAUACGGGUGUUAGGCAUCCUCAGUCUGUCCAGAACUUUUGUUGUGGAAGGAUGUGCGGGAGUGAUGUGCGAUUUCUUGUGUCCCCUACUUUCGUUGUUUACAUUUUGCGCAGUGUUGCUUCUUCUUCCAUUGUGGAAUGAUUUAUCUUAGCUAACUUGUUGAGUUACAGGUGCAUGCGCCAUUCAUCAACGCCUACCUGUUGGCAUCAUCAACAAUCUUCAAAGUGGGUGACGGAAAGAAAUUGUUUUCCAGUUUUAAAAUAUUAAGCGUUCAGCACAACUCAGCCACAAAACAACGCACUGGAUUGCGCUAAGAACCUGUCGAAACGCGCGCAGCCCCCGGGAGCGGUAGGAGAAAGGAAGAACGAGAGGAGGAAA